rnacentral:rRNA from 1 species
UGCCAGCAUCCUCGGUAAUACGGAGGGUGCAAGCGUUAAUCGGAAUUACUGGGCGUAAAGCGCGCGUAGGUGGUCUGUUAAGUCGGAUGUGAAAGCCCCGGGCUCAACCUGGGAACUGCAUUCGAUACUGGCAGACUAGAGUGCGGGAGAGGGAGGUAGAAUUCCAUGUGUAGCGGUGAAAUUCUUAGAGAUUAGAAGGAAUAUCUAAAGCGAAGGCAAUUUUCUGGUUCGAACCUGACACUGAGGUGCGAAAGCGUGGGGAGCAAACAGGAUUAGAUA